AGUGAACGCUGGCGGUAGGCCUAACACAUGCAAGUCGAACGGCAGCACAGUAAGAGCUUGCUCUUACGGGUGGCGAGUGGCGGACGGGUGAGGAAUACAUCGGAAUCUACUUUUUCGUGGGGGAUAACGUAGGGAAACUUACGCUAAUACCGCAUACGACCUACGGGUGAAAGCAGGGGAUCUUCGGACCUUGCGCGAUUGAAUGAGCCGAUGUCGGAUUAGCUAGUUGGCGGGGUAAAGGCCCACCAAGGCGACGAUCCGUAGCUGGUCUGAGAGGAUGAUCAGCCACACUGGAGCUGAGACACGGUCCAGACUCCGACGGGAGGCAGCAGUGGGGAAUAUUGGACAAUGGGCGCAAGCCUGAUCCAGCCACACCGCGUGGGUGAAGAAGGCCUUCGGGUUGUAAAGCCCUUUUGUUGGGAAAGAAAAGCAGCAGGUUAAUACCCCGCUGUUCUGACGGUACCCAAAGAAUAAGCACCGGCUAACUUCGU
rnacentral:rRNA from 1 species